rnacentral:rRNA from 1 species
GAUGAACGCUGGCGGCGUGCCUAAUACAUGCAAGUCGAGCGAACAGAUAAGGAGCUUGCUCCUUUGACGUUAGCGGCGGACGGGUGAGUAACACGUGGGUAACCUACCUAUAAGACUGGGAUAACUUCGGGAAACCGGAGCCAAUACCGGAUAAUAUUUCGAACCGCAUGGUUCGAUAGUGGAAGAUGGUUUUGCUAUCACUUAUAGAUGGACCCGCGCCGUAUUAGCUAGUUGGUAAGGUAACGGCUUACCAAGGCGACGAUACGUAGCCGACCUGAGAGGGUGAUCGGCCACACUGGAACUGAGACACGGUCCAGACUCCUACGGGAGGCAGCAGUAGGGAAUCUUCCGCAAAGGGCGAAAGCCUGACGGAGCAACGCCGCGUGAGUGAUGAAGGUCUUCGGAUCGUAAAACUCUGUUAUUAGGGAAGAACAUACGUGUAAGUAACUGUGCACGUCUUGACGGUACCUAAUCAGAAAGCCACGGCUAACUACGUG